rnacentral:lncRNA from 1 species
GAAUUUCGCUCUUAUAUUGUUUUUGAAUCAUUUCCUGGAUACUGACAAUAUUUUGAUAGCGACGCAGAGAUAUAUAGAACAAGAAAUCAAAUUUCUUCAUUUUUUUGAUUCCAUUGAACUCGUCUUCAAUUGUCUGUGUAAAGGCUAUGUACUGAUAACUGUAUUUAGAUAUAUAAUACUUGUAGUCUUUGAAUUAUACAAGUUGUGAACAAUAGCAUGGUCAUUUUCAUUG